rnacentral:rRNA from 1 species
UACGUAGGGGGCGAGCGUUGUCCGGAUUUAUUGGGCGUAAAGAGCGUGUAGGCGGUCAGGUAGGUCCGUUGUGAAAACUCGAGGCUCAACCUCGAGACGUCGAUGGAAACCAUCUGGCUAGAGUCCGGAAGAGGAGAGUGGAAUUCCUGGUGUAGCGGUGAAAUGCGCAGAUAUCAGGAAGAACACCUAUGGCGAAGGCAGCUCUCUGGGACGGUACUGACGCUGAGACGCGAAAGCGUGGGGAGCGAACAGG